GGUGGUUUUCGGGUGACGCACCCUGGAAUCAGGCUCCCUCCUCUCUGGUUCCAGGGUGCGUCACCUAAGAACUGCC
rfam:Myotis brandtii contig258653, whole genome shotgun sequence.